GACGAACGCUGGCGGCAUGCCUAACACAUGCAAGUCGAGCGAGUAGAUCCCUUCGGGGUGAAGCUAGCGGCGGACGGGUGAGUAACACGUGGGUAACCUGCCUCAUAGAGGGGAAUAGCCUUCCGAAAGGAAGAUUAAUACCGCAUAAGAUUGUAGUACCGCGUGGUAUAGCAAUUAAAGGAGCAAUCCGCUAUGAGAUGGGCCCGCGGCGCAUUAGCUAGUUGGUGAGGUAACGGCUCACCAAGGCGACGAUGCGUAGCCGACCUGAGAGGGUGAUCGGCCACAUUGGGACUGAGACACGGCCCAGACUCCUACGGGAGGCAGCAGUGGGGAAUAUUGCACAAUGGGGGAAACCCUGAUGCAGCAAUGCCGCGUGAGUGAUGACGGCCUUCGGGUUGUAAAGCUCUGUCUUCGGGGACGAUAAUGACGGUACCCGAGGAGGAAGCCACGGCUAACUACGUGCCAGCCGCCGCGGUAA
rnacentral:rRNA from 1 species